rnacentral:rRNA from 1 species
UUCGCCAGAGUACUACGAGCAUAAGCUUAAAACCCAAAGGACUUGGCGGUGCUUUAGCCCCACCUAGAGGAGCCUGUUCUGUAACCGACAACCCCCGUUAAACCUUACCUUCUCUUGUCUUUUUCCGCCUAUAUACCACCGUCGUCAGCUUACCCCAUGAGGGACACCGAGUAAGCAGGAUUGAUUAAGUCCAAAACGUCAGGUCGAGGUGUAGCAUAUGAGAAGGAAAGAAAUGGGCUACAUUUCCUACAUUAGGAUAUAACGAAAACUAUUAUGAAACACAAGGAUUAAAGGAGGAUUUAGCAGUAAGAAGGAACAGAGUGUCCU